rnacentral:rRNA from 1 species
CCUACGGGUGGCAGCAGUGAGGAAUAUUGGUCAAUGGGCGUAAGCCUGAACCAGCCAAGUCGCGUGAGGGAUGACGGCUCUAUGGGUUGUAAACCUCUUUUGUCAGGGAGUAAAGUGCGGGACGUGUGCCGUUUGGUAUGUACCCUAUGAAAAAGGAUCGGCUUACUCCGUGCCAGCAGCCGCGGUAAUACGGAGGAUCCGAGCGUUUUCCGGAUUUAUUGGGUUUAAGGGGUGCGUAGGCGGAAUUUUAAGUCAGCGGGAAAAGUUCGGGGUGAAACAAUCUAGAGCCGUUGAAACUGGGUGGCUUGAGUGUGUGAGAGGUAGGCGGAAUGCGUGGUGUAGCGGUGAAAUGCAUAGAUAUCACGCAGAACCCCGAUUGCGAAGGCAGCCUACCGGCGCAUAACUGACGCUGAAGCACGAAAGCGUGGGUAUCAAACAGGAUUAGAUACCCGAGUAGUC